rnacentral:rRNA from 1 species
CCUACGGGAGGCAGCAGUAGGGAAUUUUCGUCAAUGGGCGCAAGCCUGAACGAGCGAUGCCGCGUGAGUGAAGAAGGCCUUCGGGUCGUAAAGCUCUGUUGCGGGGGAAAAAAGGCAGCAUCAGGAAAUGGGUGCUGACUGAUGGUGCCCCGCCAGAAAGUCACGGCUAACUACGUGCCAGCAGCCGCGGUAAUACGUAGGUGGCGAGCGUUAUCCGGAAGGAUUGGGCGUAAAGGGUGCGCAGGCGGUCCUGCAAGUCUGGAGUGAAACGCAUGAGCUCAACUCAUGCAUGGCUUUGGAAACUGGAGGACUGGAGAGUAGGAGAGGGCGGUGGAACUCCAUGUGUAGCGGUAAAAUGCGUAGAUAUAUGGAAGAACACCAGUGGCGAAGGCGGCCGCCUGGCCUGUUGCUGACGCUGAGGCACGAAAGCGUGGGGAGCAAAUAGGAUUAGAUACCCCAGUAGUC